rnacentral:lncRNA from 1 species
UGGGAAUUUCGGCAUUCUGAUGUUUUUGGUUGUAGAUGUGAAUGUGGGGAUAUUUCCCCAUUCUAAUGUUAUUGGUUUUAUAUGUGUAGUGUAUGUGGGGAUUUUCCCCACUGGUACGUUUUUCAAUUCAAGAAUACUAGUUUUCUUCAUUGAGUGGGGAGAUUUCCUCAAAUUUGAUAAAAUCAUGUAAGCGCAUUUCCAUUAACUUAUAGAUUUGUUGACAAAAAGUGUUUAUUUCAAUUCACAUCGUCAACCGAAUUUGAAACCACC